rnacentral:rRNA from 1 species
AACGAACGCUGGCGGCAGGCUUAACACAUGCAAGUCGAGCGCCCCGCAAGGGGAGCGGCAGACGGGUGAGUAACGCGUGGGAAUCUACCCAUCUCUACGGAAUAACGCAUGGAAACGUGUGCUAAUACCGUAUACGUCCUUCGGGAGAAAGAUUUAUCGGAGAUGGAUGAGCCCGCGUUGGAUUAGCUAGUUGGUGGGGUAAAGGCCUACCAAGGCGACGAUCCAUAGCUGGUCUGAGAGGAUGAUCAGCCACACUGGGACUGAGACACGGCCCAGACUCCUACGGGAGGCAGCAGUGGGGAAUAUUGGACAAUGGGCGCAAGCCUGAUCCAGCCAUGCCGCGUGAGUGAUGAAGGCCCUAGGGUUAUAAAGCUCUUUCACCGGUGAAGAUAAUGACGGUAACCGGAGAAGAAGCCCCGGCUAACUUUGUGCCAGCCGCCGCAGUAAGAC